rnacentral:tRNA from 2 species
GUCUUUGUAGUAUAACCAUUACCUUGGUCUUGUAAACCAAAAAUGGAGAGUAAUCGCCCUCCCUAAGACU